GUAGGUGGCAAGCGUUGUCCGGAAUUAUUGGGCGUAAAGCGCGCGCAGGCGGUCCUUUAAGUCUGAUGUGAAAGCCCACGGCUCAACCGUGGAGGGUCAUUGGAAACUGGGGGACUUGAGUGCAGAAGAGGAGAGUGGAAUUCCACGUGUAGCGGUGAAAUGCGUAGAGAUGUGGAGGAACACCAGUGGCGAAGGCGACUCUCUGGUCUGUAACUGACGCUGAGGCGCGAAAGCGUGGGGGGAGCGAACAGGAUUAGAUACCCUGGUAGUCCACGCCGUAAACGAUGAGUGCUAAGUGUUAGAGGGUUUCCGCCCCCUUUAGUGCUGCAGCUAACGCAUUAAGCACUCCGCCUGGGAGUACGGUCGCAAGACUG
rnacentral:rRNA from 1 species